AUGACCUGGGCUCUUCUCCUGCUCAGCCUCCUCAGUCAGGGCCCAGGGAUCUGGGCCCAGUCAGCUCUGACUCAGCCUCCCUCAGUGUCUGGGACUCCAGGACACACAGUCACCAUCUCCUGUACAGGAACCAGCAAUGACAUUGGGGGAUAUAGCUAUGUCUCCUGGUUCCAGCAGCAGGAGGGCACAGCCCCCAAAAUGCUGAUUUAUAAUGUCAAUAAGCGGCCGUCAGGGAUCCCUGAUCGCUUCUCUGGCUCCAAGUCUGGCAACACAGCGACCCUGACCAUCUCUGGGCUCAAGCCUGAGGACGAGGCUGAUUAUUACUGUGGCUCCUACAGAAGUGCUAACAAACUCACAGUGGUUCAUGCUCAUAGGGAAGUGAGACAAAAACCUACUCUGAGUUAUCUCAUCUUCCUUCCCUAA